rnacentral:rRNA from 1 species
CCUACGGGAGGCAGCAGUGAGGAAUAUUGGUCAAUGGACGAGAGUCUGAACCAGCCAAGUAGCGUGAAGGAUGACUGCCCUAUGGGUUGUAAACUUCUUUUAUAUGGGAAUAAAAUGUUCCACGUGUGGGAUUUUGUAUGUACCAUAUGAAUAAGGAUCGGCUAACUCCGUGCCAGCAGCCGCGGUAAUACGGAGGAUCCGAGCGUUAUCCGGAUUUAUUGGGUUUAAAGGGAGCGUAGGUGGAUUGUUAAGUCAGUUGUGAAAGUUUGCGGCUCAACCGUAAAAUUGCAGUUGAAACUGGCAGUCUUGAGUACAGUAGAGGUGGGCGGAAUUCGUGGUGUAGCGGUGAAAUGCUUAGAUAUCACGAAGAACUCCGAUUGCGAAGGCAGUUCACUGGACUGCAACUGACACUGAGGCUCGAAAGUGUGGCUAUCAAACAGGAUUAGAUACCCCAGUAGUC